GCGGGUGUAGUUCAGUGGUAGAACGCUUGCUUCCCAAGCAAGACGCGCGGGUUCGAUUCCCGCCACCCGCU
rnacentral:tRNA from 1 species